rnacentral:tRNA from 1 species
AGUUAUUCCCUGGGGGCAGCCUGUCUUGAAAACAGGCUUAAAGUGUUCAAUUCACUUAGUAACUU